rnacentral:tRNA from 1 species
GGAGGGAUGGGUGAGUGGCUGAAACCACCAGUUUGCUAAACUGACGUACUGGAAACGGUACCGCGGGUUCGAAUCCCGCUCCCUCCGCAA